rnacentral:rRNA from 1 species
AGGGCACCACCAGGAGUGGAGCCUGCGGCUUAAUUUGACUCAACACGGGAAAACUCACCCGGCCCGGACACUGGAAGGAUUGACAGAUUGAGAGCUCUUUCUUGAUUCAGUGGGUGGUGGUGCAUGGCCGUUCUUAGUUGGUGGAGUGAUUUGUCUGGUUAAUUCCGAUAACGAACGAGACUCUAGCCUACUAAAUAGAUCGUCGGCUUACAAACGCCGGCGAGACUUCUUAGAGGGACAGGCGGUGAUUCAACCGCACGAAACAGAGCAAUAACAGGUCUGUGAUGCCCUUAGAUGUCCGGGGCCGCACGCGCGCUACACUGAAGUGAUCAGCGUGCUUUUUCAACCUACUCUGUCAAGAGUGGGGAACCCAAUGAACCUUCUUCGUGAUUGGGAUAGGGGAUUGUAAUUGUUCCCCUUGAACGAGGAAUUCUCAGUAAGCGCGAGUCAUAAGCUCGCGUUGAUUACGUCCCUGCCCUUUGUACACACCGCCCGUCGCUACUACCGAUUGAAUGUUUU